rnacentral:antisense_RNA from 1 species
GAUGGUGAUGAUGGUCUUUAUUGAAGCAUCUGAAGAUGGAGCAUUCAGCCAGUCAGGAGUGUCUUGAGAUCCUAAGCAGCCAAGAAAUCCUAGGGCCUUCUCUUGUAUCUUUUCCAUGCUGAAAAACACAAAACCCCGAAAUGGGUGAAGAAGGAAAUGCUCAUCUUGACGAGUGGGGGAGAUGAAGUCAUGAGAUCAUAAAUGCCAGACUGUCUAAGUGCAGGGAGUAAACUGUCCUGCUGAGCCCACAGGCCCCUGGGACAGCCUGUUGGUCUGCACUGCACUCCGGGAAACAUGCACCGCAUUCGCAGGUUUAUAUCAGUGGUCCUCAACCCUGUUGCCCAUGAGAAGAUUCUACUUCAUUGAUCUGAGGUGAACCGUGCACACUGGCAUUUUCUUAAAAUUCCCCAAGGAUUAUAAUGUAAAACCAGGAUUGAGAACUUCUGGUUGGGGGAAGAUCUCCCUGUGGAUAAAUCACAAACGGCUGGUGACAA